CUCAAAGAUUAAGCCAUGCAUGUCUCAGUAUAAACGAUUUAACAGUGAAACCGCGAACGGCUCAUUACAACAGGUAUAAUUUACUUGAUCUUGAAAGAAUCCUACUUGGAUAACUGUGGUAAUUCUAGAGCUAAUACAUGCCCUAAAGCUCUGACCUCGCGGGAAGAGUGCAUUUAUUAGAUCAAAACCAAGCGGCUUCGGCCGUCUACCACUGACUUAAAGUAACUAAGCUGAUCGUAUGGUCUUGUACCGACGACGUAUCUUUCAAGUAUCUGCCUUAUCAACUUUCGAUGGUAGUGUAGUGGACUACCAUGGUUGUGACGGGUAACGGAGGAUAAGGGUUCGACUCCGGAGAGGGAGCUUGAGACACGGCUACCAUGUCUAAGGACAGCAGCAGGCGCGCAAAUUACCCACUCUCAGAACGAGGAGGUAGUGACGAAAAAUAACGAGACCGUUCUCUAUGAGGCCGGUCAUCGGAAUGGGUACAAUCUAAACCCUUUAACGAGUAUCUAUGAGAGGGCAAGUCUGGUGCCAGCAGCCGCGGUAAUUCCAGCUCUCAAAAUGCAUAGAAUUAUUGCUGCGGUUAAAAAGCUCGUAGUUGGAUCUGUGCUGGGAAUUGGGUCCGCCUUCGGGUGUGCACUCAGCUUCCCGGCUUUUUGCUGGUUUUCCCGUUGUGGCCUUUACCGGUUGCAGCGGGUGGCUGGCGAGUUUACCUUGAAGAAAUCAAAGUGCUUAAUACAGGCGAUUUGCUUGAAUGUGGUGCAUGGAAUAAUAGAAAAGGAUUUCGGUUCUCUUUUAUUGGUUUUACGAGCUGAGAUAAUGGUUAACAGAGACAAACGGGGGCAUUCGUAUCGUUGCGUGAGAGGUGAAAUUCUUGGACCGCAGCGAGACGAACUACAGCGAAAGCAUUUGCCAAGAAUGUCUUCAUUAAUCAAGAACGAAAGUCAGAGGUUCGAAGGCGAUCAGAUACCGCCCUAGUUCUGACCGUAAA
rnacentral:rRNA from 1 species